AAGCUCGUAGUUGAAUUUCGGGAUUAGUACGUCGGUCGUGCCUUAGGUACGUACUGGUAUUACUGGUUCCUACCUUCUGACGAACCAUCAUGUCAUUAAUUUGGUGUGGCGGGGAAUCAGGACUGUUACUUUGAAAAAAUUAGAGUGUUUAAAGCAGGCUCGCGCUUGAAUACAUUAGCAUGGAAUAAUGAAAUAGGACGUUGAUCCUAUUUUGUUGGUUUCUAGGAUUGACGUAAUGAUUAAUAGGGAUAGUUGGG
rnacentral:rRNA from 1 species